AUUGAACGCUGGCGGCAGGCCUAACACAUGCAAGUCGAGCGGAUGACGGGAGCUUGCUCCUUGAUUCAGCGGCGGACGGGUGAGUAAUGCCUAGGAAUCUGCCUGGUAGUGGGGGACAACGUUUCGAAAGGAACGCUAAUACCGCAUACGUCCUACGGGAGAAAGCAGGGGACCGUCGGGCCUUGCGCUAUCAGAUGAGCCUAGGUCGGAUUAGCUAGUAGGUGAGGUAAUGGCUCACCUAGGCGACGAUCCGUAACUGGUCUGAGAGGAUGAUCAGUCACACUGGAACUGAGACACGGUCCAGACUCCUACGGGAGGCAGCAGUGGGGAAUAUUGGACAAUGGGCGAAAGCCUGAUCCAGCCAUGCCGCGUGUGUGAAGAAGGUCUUCGGAUUGUAAAGCACUUUAAGUUGGGAGGAAGGGUUGUACGUUAAUACCGUGCAAUUUUGACGUUACCGACAGAAUAAGCACCGGCUAACUCUGUGCCAGCAGCCGCGGUAAAAC
rnacentral:rRNA from 1 species